rnacentral:rRNA from 1 species
UACGUAGGGUGCAAGCGUUGUCCGGAAUUAUUGGGCGUAAAGAGCGUGUAGGCGGUUUUACAGGUCCGCUGUGAAAACUCGAGGCUCAACCUCGAGCUGUCGGUGGAAACCGUAAGGCUAGAGUCCGGAAGAGGAGAGUGGAAUUCCUGGUGUAGCGGUGAAAUGCGCAGAUAUCAGGAAGAACACCCGUGGCGAAGGCGGCUCUCUGGGACGGUACUGACGCUGAGACGCGAAAGCGUGGGGAGCGAACAGG